rnacentral:misc_RNA from 1 species
GAUGAAGAACGUAGCGAAAUGCGAUAAGUAAUGUGAAUUGCAGAAUUCAGUGAAUCAUCGAAUCUUUGAACGCACAUUGCGCCCCCUGGUAUUCCGGGGGGCAUGCCUGUUCGAGCGUCAUUUCACCACUCAAGCCUCGCUUGGUAUUGGGCAUCGCGGUCCGCCGCGUGCCUCAAAUCGACCGGCUGGAUCUUCUGUCCCCUAAGCGUUGUGGAAACUAUUCGCUAAAGGGUGUUCGGGAGGCUACGCCGUAAAACAACCCCAUUUCUAAGGUUGACCUCGGAUCAGGUAGGGAUACCCGCUGAACUUAAGCAUAUCAAUAAGCGGAGGA